rnacentral:rRNA from 1 species
GACAGGCAUUCCCCCAGUAACUGCGAGUGAAGAGGGAAGAGCUCAUCAUUGGAAUCUGGCAGUGUUGCACUGUCCGAGUUGUAGAUGAGGAGUAGUCCGUCUGGACUGCAUGGCGUCCAAGUACAAUAGGCCGUCAGUGGGACAUCAUAGAGGGUGACAAUCCCGUCCUUGACGCCAAUGUGCAAGUCUAUUACGAUGGCUAUCUCAGAGAGUCGAGCAGUUUGGGAUUUGCUGCUUAAACAUGGGAGGUAGAUUCCUUCUAAAGCUAAAUACAGGCGAGAGACCGAUAGAGAACAAGUACCGCAAGGGAAAGAUGAAAUAGCACUCUGUGAAGGGAGUCAAAAGGCGUGAAAUUGUUGCGAGAGAAGCGAUUCAAGUCAGCGUAGCUAGGCCCAUCAAGCGUCUUCGCUUUGGACUAGCUUUGCCAGCGGUCUUGUCCCUUGAAGAGACUUGACUUGUAAUAUGUCCAGCCUGGCGUGCACAGGCAGCCCCUUCUGGGGGCCAGUGGCAUGGCUGGUGGAAUGGCUUGCAAUCGACCCGUCUUGAAACACGGACCAAGGAGUCUAACAUGUAUGCGAGUAUAAGGGUGGCAAACCCGUAUGCGCAAUGAAAGUGAUUUUCGGUGAUUGAGAAUGGCCUGAUGACCAGACAAGCAAUAUAUGUCCCUCGUACGGCCAUUGCCCAAGUUCCGUGGUAGAUCCCACGAACAUGGAGUUGGAGCAUACAUGCUAGGACCCGAAAGAUGGUGAACUAUGCCUGGACAAAGCGAAGCCAAAGGAAACUCUGGUGGAGGCUUGUAGCGAUUCUGACGUGCAAAUCGAUCGUCUGAUCUGGGUAUAGGGGCGAAAGACUAAUCGAACCAUCUCAUAGCUGGUUCUG